rnacentral:miRNA from 1 species
UACACCUCAUCGACCAGAAGGAAUCCCUUCUGGUCGAUGAGGUUGUUACACCUCAUCGAUUGGAAGGAAUCCCUUCUGAUCGAUGAGGACCGGAAGGGAUUCCUUCCAAUUGAUGAGGUGUAACAACCUCAUCAACCGGAAGGGAUUCCUUCCGAUUGAUGAGGUGUA